AACGAACGCUGGCGGCAUGCCUAACACAUGCAAGUCGAACGAGACCUUCGGGUCUAGUGGCGCACGGGUGCGUAACGCGUGGGAAUCUGCCCUUGGGUUCGGGAUAACAGUUGGAAACGACUGCUAAUACCGGAUGAUGUCUUCGGACCAAAGAUUUAUCGCCCAGGGAUGAGCCCGCGUCGGAUUAGCUAGUUGGUGAGGUAAAGGCUCACCAAGGCGACGAUCCGUAGCUGGUCUGAGAGGAUGAUCAGCCACACUGGGACUGAGACACGGCCCAGACUCCUACGGGAGGCAGCAGUGGGGAAUAUUGGACAAUGGGCGAAAGCCUGAUCCAGCAAUGCCGCGUGAGUGAUGAAGGCCUUAGGGUUGUAAAGCUCUUUUACCCGGGAUGAUAAUGACAGUACCGGGAGAAUAAGCCCCGGCUAACUCCGUGCCAGCAGCCGCGGUAAUACGGAGGGGGCGUAGCGUUGUUCGGAAUUACUGGGCGUAAAGCGCGCGUA
rnacentral:rRNA from 1 species